AUAGAAAUGAAAAUGUACAUGAAAAAACACAAGACAUCAAACAAUAUAUUGAUUUGAAUGUGUUUCAUUAAUAUCUCCAAAGACGAGUUGAUUAUAUAGGGAAUCACUGAAGCAUGACUGGAGUCCCCCCUUUAGUUCAGUCAAUAGGUCCACCUUAUAAUAAGUACUGGAUCUCCCACUGAAACAUGUUUGUGAAUGCUCAACAAUGCACUAACCUGGGACAAUAAGAAUAAACGGUAAAAAUAUGGUUCUUUUGGCUUUACACACUAGAUUUGUACGAGGCAUGUAAAUAACAACUAAUAUAGAAAGUAGACACAAAUAAAUAAAUCAUGUUUUUUUAACUGAAGUAUUAUUAAUAUUCACAGACCAAUUGAUUUUCAUGGGGUGGAGCCAUGGAUUUUAUAUGAAGCAAGAUUUUUAAGCAAGACAAAAUUUUGUUUUUUACAUUAUUCAUAUCCUAUUUGCCAAAAAUAAAUCCAGAACAUUUUUUCUGCAACUGAAUAUGUAGGUCUGAUUAUUUGUUUAAACAUUACAGAUUAGUAAUUGGUUUGUCCAUAAGGAUUUAGACUGGAAAUGGCAAUUGAAUCUGAUUUUUAAAGCUGAUGUGAGGACUGAUUUUAUGGUGUUGGAAGUAAGAACUGGCGAUCUUAUACUGCUAACAUAUUGGUUAGCAUCACAGCUUGUCCUUUUGCAUACUGUCCAGAGUAGAAUUUGGAUCUUUUUGAGGUGCCCUUGUGUGGUCAAUCCAAUGGACAAUAACAAUCAUGCAGACCAGAUAUAUAUUGCUUUUUAGUAUAAUAAAAUCUUUAAAUGAUAAUUCUGAAAGCC